AUUGAACGCUGGCGGCAGGCCUAACACAUGCAAGUCGAGCGGUAGAGAGGUGCUUGCAUCUCUUGAGAGCGGCGGACGGGUGAGUAAUGCCUAGGAAUCUGCCUAGUGGUGGGGGAUAACGUUCGGAAACGGACGCUAAUACCGCAUACGUCCUACGGGAGAAAGCGGGGGAUCUUCGGACCUCGCGCCAUUAGAUGAGCCUAGGUCGGAUUAGCUAGUUGGUGAGGUAAAUGGCUCACCAAGGCGACGAUCCGUAACUGGUCUGAGAGGAUGAUCAGUCACACUGGAACUGAGACACGGUCCAGACUCCUACGGGAGGCAGCAGUGGGGAAUAUUGGACAAUAGGCGGAAAGA
rnacentral:rRNA from 1 species